AGCUGCUUUACCGAUGAAAUUAGGUGAAUGAGCUUGACCUUGUGAAAGAGUUCCGGAAGGGAAGUAGUUCAGUAAGGAGUUUA